rnacentral:rRNA from 1 species
UACGGAGGGGGCUAGCGUUGUUCGGAAUUACUGGGCGUAAAGCGCACGUAGGCGGCUUUGUAAGUUAGAGGUGAAAGCCCGGGGCUCAACUCCGGAAUUGCCUUUAAGACUGCAUCGCUCGAAUUGUGGAGAGGUAAGUGGGAUUCCGAGUGUAGAGGUGAAAUUCGUAGAUAUUCGGAAGAACACCAGUGGCGAAGGCGACUUACUGGACACAUAUUGACGCUGAGGUGCGAAAGCGUGGGGAGCAAACAGG